CUCACUCUUCAACCCAUCCAUCCAUUUCCAGAAGCUUCACUCGUUCUUCUUCUCUGCGCUUUCCGUUUCACCAGUUCGAAUCUCUAGCAUUUUAGCUCGCAUAGUACACGGUAUAUCACAGCUCAACAAUGAUUCUUGUGAAUCGCAAGAACGUAUGGUAUUAUGGGUCAGUUUCUCUCCGUUUUUUUUUUCAAUACCCAUUUGAGAUGUGUAGAUCGUACCAGCUAAUUUCAAUUUCUAGAUUGAAUCUUGCAGAAAAGGUAACUUGCAUGGUAUAUCUUUCAAGAUAUUUAUAUUCUAUCAUACAAAUAAUCGCAUUUUAAUAUUUACGAAACCCUAAAUGUUUAUAAUGCGUAUGUAGACUCAACAAUCUGCCUAAGUCCGAUUCUAGUAUAGAUCUUCAUAAAUAGUUAAUUCGAAAGCACAUGCAGUACAUUUUUGUUUAAGAGCUGUAUCUUAGUCAGUAUUGGUUAGUAUGUUUGUUAGAUUCGACGUUUUAAUAUCCAAUUUGCUACAAAUUUCAUUCAAUUUCUAUGUUGAAUUGUUCUGAAUUGCAUUAUUAUGUUAAUGCAACAAAAAUUCAUCAGCAUUCCUGAAUUAUUAAUUCUGUUUUCUGAGUGUUAAAAAAAAAAAAGUCUUUAUACCAAAAAAAAUCUAUUUGUUGUUUUGUUUGUACUGUGUGUAAUUCUUGCAACUUGCAAUUUGCCAGUUUUCCAGUAAUGGCAACCCAAUUACAUAGAACCCACCAAUGCCACCUGUAAAUCUGUCAUGAAGGCUAAAUGCAUACAGAUUCAACAUAGUUUGCAGCAAUCUUGAAGGUAUACUUAAGCACAGAUCAAGGAUAUGAAGUGCAUUGCAAGCACUGAGUGACUAAGGUUCAUUUAGGCACAGAUUAUGGAUAUGAAGUACAUAUUUUGCAGAUUUUAUGGGAAAAUACACAUUACAGACAACAGCAAGCACUAUGCAUAUGUGAGAUGGGACUAAAAUGUAGGGUUUAAAAUUUGAAAUAUGUACAAAUAAUUUCGUACAUAUUUAUCAUAUUUUGAAGAGAGCAGCAAACAGUACACCUUACAGAGAGGAGCAAACAGUAUACAUAUGUGAUAUGAGACUUAAAUGUGGGGUAAGCCUGAUACAAUCUCUCUAUGAUAUGAUAUUAUGAUUGCAGUAGCCAUAAAACUACUUCAGAUAUGGAAUUAGUAGGCAUAAAAAACCAUUGUCAAAGGAAAGCAGAAAAAAAUAAUAUUAUCAAUGCUGUAGGAAAAAAAAUAAAGGAAAGCAAAACUGACCUCCGAGUCAUGAAAAAAGGCACUCUUGACUCUUGAUUACCUCACUGUUCCUUCCUUCUGGAACAACAUAAGUUCGUACCAACCGGAGCCUUAUUGCCUUGCGUGUGUAGUCUGGGCAUAUAUUUUUUGCAAGGACGUACAGGUGAGACAUUUUGAUAGCAGAGGCUUAAAAUUUUUGCAAAUCAGAGAAAGAAGAUGAAAUGGGAGAUAGAGUUUGCUGGAGUUGAUCACUGCUUGUUUAUAACUCGGUAUAUAUGAAGCCUUUACAGUGGAAAGGCUUCCAACCGUUAAUGAAUGAAUCAUUAAAUUCACAUUGGACAUGUAAACGUCCAAAAAGUAUGGGAAAGAGUGAUUGUAAUUAUUGUAAUAUAUUUAAAUUGUAAUAUUGUAGUAUGUAGUAUAUAUUUAGUAUAUAGAUAUAGAUACAGAUGUAGUAUAUAUAUAUAUAGAUAGAUAUUAUAUAGAUAUGGAACAAUUACCAAUCACUGAAGAAUAAAAUUAAACCCUUCGUUUCUUUA